GAGGGAGGUGGGCACCAAGGCCUGGUACUAUUACUGAUGCUAUGGUUUGCUUACAGACGGGAGCCUAGCAAGGCUGUCCUCCGAGAAGACCAGCAAGCAACUGACUGAGACAGAUGCAGAUACUUACAUCCAACCAUUGGACUGAAGGAGGCGACCCCUGUGGUUGAAUUAGGGGAAGGAUUGAAGAAAUUGAAGGGGAGAAUGACCUCAUAGGAAGACCAGCAGUCUCAACUAACCCAGACUCCAGGGAGCUCCCAGAGACUGAGUCACCACCAGGAGCACACACGGAUUGGUCUGAGCCCCUGUCACAUACAUAGAGGAGGUCUGCCUGGUCAGGCUUCAGUGGGAGAAAAAGCAUUUAAUUCUCAAGAGACUUGAGGCCCCAGGGAAGGGGGGAGGCCUGGUGGGAGGAUCACCCUCUUGGAGGCAAGGGGGAGGAGGAAUGGGAUGAGGAAUUGUGGGAGGGGGCAUUGGGAAGGGAGGGCAAUGACUGGAAUGUAAAUAAAUAAAAAAAAAUCUUCCCCACUUUAACCCUUUCUGCCCCUAUGAGAAGUAACUGAGGAUUGGCUGCUGUGUUACAACCAAGAACGUUGUUCUCCAGGCCGGAAAGCAGAACCUGCUGUUGGCUCACUGGACCAGAGCAUUAGCUUAGGAGCAGAUGCCAAGAGCAAUUUUCAGCAGAGCAUGGCAACUGACCUUGAGAAGUUUGAAGGUCACUCAUGGCCAUAAUGCUGAAAAGAUCUGAACCAAGAAUUAUGGGAUGUGCUGAGGAAGGAUUAAGUUCUUUAGAAAGCUAAAGUCAUAGGACAUCAGCUCACCAGACACCCAAGGAAAACUAGGACUGUCUAAAGAGAGAUAAGACAAGAGCUCUCAUCCCUUUUGAACAGAAGCUACCACACAGGAGACAAAAUUUCUGGUAAGGUAUUCAAGCCCGAUGUGGACUGUGAUGAGAUCGUAGUCCCCUGGAGUAACAGAGACUCAUUCUUCAAAGGACUGUGCUUUACAGCUCUGUGAGGAUGCUCUGAAAAAAG
rnacentral:lncRNA from 1 species